CUGUGACAUAUUUUGUAGGCAGUAAGUGGUCAGUGAAGGAGAGAGGAGUCCCUUGGUGACUGGGAAGAUGGAUAUUAAACAUUGAGAACUCAGCAAAAGUAUUUAUUAAAGAAAUAAAAUUGCCUGCACUUGGAUUAUGGAUGGUGAUAUGGUUUGGAUUUGCUGCUCUACCCAAAUUUCAUGUUGAAUUCCAAUCCCCAAUGUUGGAGAGGGUCCAGGCAAAUAAACAAAUGACUGCUGAUUGGAGUGAUUGAUACUGACAACCAAGGAGAAAUUGGGCUACUACUCCACAGCAGAGGUAAAGAAGAGUAUGUCUGUAAUACAGAAGCUCCCUUAAGGGAUCU
rnacentral:lncRNA from 1 species